ncrna:unclassified sequences malK-III RNA
CGAGCCGGCACCUCGUACGGGGCCCGUCCGCGCCGCUCCGGCGGCCGUGAUGCAAGGGCCCGCGAUGACCCGACCGGGACGAGGAGACGCGCAUG